rnacentral:snRNA from 1 species
GUACUCGCUUCAGCAGCACAUAUACUAAAAUUGGAACGAUACAGAGAAGAUUAGUAUGGCCCCUGCGCAAGGAUGACACACAAAUUCGUGAAACGUUCCAUAUAUUU